rnacentral:lncRNA from 1 species
AUGCAAGAAAUUAAAUGUCCCUUCCAAGGGCAUGUGGCUAUGCUGUCAGUGGAGGUAGACUGUGAGGAAAGUUCCACCUGGGUUGGGUGGAUGGUUUUGGUGGAGGGAGAGGCUUGUGACCUGAGGGCUAUGGCCUUGGAGGCUGGCCACACAGAGCCAGCCUGGGUCAGCAGGGUGCCUGGCGGGUGGUGGGUGGCCUGGGAGUCUGGCUGUCAUCAACCCUGUGCUCCUUGCAGUCCUCUCUUGCCUGUGCUCCUGCUCCCAGCCUCCAGGAUGGCAGCAGUUCUGGCCUGUCUGAAAGCGAGGAGAGUGUGUUCUCAGGCCUGGAAGAUUCCGGCAGCGACAGUAGUGAGGAUGACCCCCCCAAGGAAGAGGAUGGGGUCAGCAGUGACGAGGGCCGUGGCGAGACGGAGAAGACCACUGAGCAGCAGGUGCAGAAUGGGACCCCCUCCCCAAGGACGGCGAUGGCGAGAGUGCAGGGCUGUGAAGAGUACGCGGAGGACAGUUCUGACGAGGAGGUGGGGCUGGGCUUGCCUCUUCCACGAGGGGUGGGGGGGCGCCUUCCCCAGCUGGGCUGUGCUGCCCAGGGUAGAGAGGAGUCAGGCUGCUGUGAGGGGCCGCGCUCGUGGUCCAGAGGGUGAUUUUGGGGUUGGGGAUAGAUGUCUGCUGGAGUGUGUGUCAUCGUUCGGGAAGGAGGCGGGGUGGAUGUGACACGGCGAGCCCCCGGGUGUGUCCACGGGGCAGUGGCUGAUGCUGGGGUCCCUCGUGUUCUGUGGAGGCUGUGCUCAUGCUCUCGGUGGGCACAGGGAGGCUGGGGCAGGGCCGGCUUCCCUGAUGCCAGCUGGCCUGUGCUGGGCCCCCGGGGUGAUAGACCUGAGUGCCAAGGGCAGCAUCACCGGGCAGCUUCAUGCAGGAGGUGGGUGGCUUCUGGGUGUUCUGUCCCUUCCCUCCCUGGGGUCCUCGAGGUGUGGGCUGGUGUGGGCCUCAGUGAAUGCUGGGUGCCCCCUCAAGUUUAGGGUCUAAAGGGACAAGCAUGGUGGUGGGCUAGGGGUGCCCUGUCUGGCAUCCAGACGCCCCGUGUGUGGGCCAGCGGCUCUGUCUCUGCCGCUUUCGGAGGGCUGGAAGCUGAGGAGCUCUGAGCCCCCAGGUGGCUGUCUCCUCCUGCCUGUCCCCUCCCAGGUGUGUCCCAGUCACGGGCAGGGCUCUGGCCCUGCGCUGCCGUGUGCACCCAGGCGUGUGCCUCCUUGGGCAGCGGGCCGCGGGGGUGGAGGAGGACAGCGGCGUUGGUGCGGGCCUUGCAGGGACAGCGGUUCUCCAGAGCUCUUCCUGCUGCCUGUCAGGGGCUGUCCCGGGGCCUGGGGAGGCACGCGCCCCCACCCUGCUCGGCCUCCACCCCCGUGCUCGCGCUCUCUUGGCAGCGGCUGCAGGAGCCUUGGCUGCCCGCCCGAUCUGGUCUCUGUGCGUUCAGAGAACAGAGACAAAACAAAAUAAAUUGGUUUCCUGGCCGGAGCA